GUUGAAACACCGGUUCCCGUAUGAUCACUGAAGUUAAGCCAUGGUGAGACUGGUCAGUACCCAGAUGGGUAACUGCUUGGAAAUACUAGGUGCUGUAA